rnacentral:rRNA from 1 species
GGGAAUCUGCCCUUGGGUUCGGAAUAACAGUUAGAAAUGACUGCUAAUACCGGAUGAUGACGUAAGUCCAAAGAUUUAUCGCCCAGGGAUGAGCCCGCGUAGGAUUAGCUAGUUGGUGAGGUAAAGGCUCACCAAGGCGACGAUCCUUAGCUGGUCUGAGAGGAUGAUCAGCCACACUGGGACUGAGACACGGCCCAGACUCCUACGGGAGGCAGCAGUGGGGAAUAUUGGACAAUGGGCGAAAGCCUGAUCCAGCAAUGCCGCGUGAGUGAUGAAGGCCUUAGGGUUGUAAAGCUCUUUUACCCGGGAUGAUAAUGACAGUACCGGGAGAAUAAGCUCCGGCUAACUUCGUGCCAGCAGCCGCGGUAAUACGAGGGGAGCUAGCGUUAUUCGGAAUUACUGGGCGUAAAGCGCACGUAGGCGGCUUUGUAAGUAAGGGGUGAAAGCCCAGAGCUCAACUCUGGAAUUGCCUUUUAGACUGCAUCGCUUGAAUCCAGGAGAGGUGAGUGGAAUUCCGAGU